rnacentral:rRNA from 1 species
UGGGGAAUAUUGCACAAUGGGCGCAAGCCUGAUGCAGCCAUGCCGCGUGUAUGAAGAAGGCCUUCGGGUUGUAAAGUACUUUCAGCGGGGAGGAAGGGAGUAAAGUUAAUACCUUUGCUCAUUGACGUUACCCGCAGAAGAAGUACCGGCUAACUCCGUGCCAGCAGCCGCGGUAAUACGGAGGGUGCAAGCGUUAAUCGGAAUUACUGGGCGUAAAGCGCACGCAGGCGGUUUGUUAAGUCAGAUGUGAAAUCCCCGGGCUCAACCUGGGAGCUGCAUCUGAUAAUGGCAAGCUUGAGUCUCGUAGAGGGGGGUAGAAUUCCAGGUGUAGCGGUGAAAUGCGUAGAGAUCUGGAGGAAUACCGGUGGCGAAGGCGGCCCCCUGGACGAAGACUGACGCUCAGGUGCGAAAGCGUGGGGAGCAAACAGG